rnacentral:rRNA from 1 species
UCGGAUCCCUUGAUCCGUUGAACCCCGCGAAAGAACAAGUGCAUUAUGCGACGUUGGGCGAGAGGCGUCUCGCCGGUACCCGCACCUGCCCUUCGGGGUCGGUCGGGUUCCGAAUCAAAGCGUACACCCCAUUUUCAACCCCACUAAACUCUGAAUCUGAACUCGAAAGGGAGGCUGGCCUCGCGGCGGCGCCCUCAACCAUAUAACGUUGUAAAA